UCAGGCCUAACACAUGCAAGUCGAGCGGAAACGAGUUAUCUGAACCUUCGGGGAACGAUAACGGCGUCGAGCGGCGGACGGGUGAGUAAUGCCUAGGAAAUUGCCCUGAUGUGGGGGAUAACCAUUGGAAACGAUGGCUAAUACCGCAUAAUACCUACGGGUCAAAGAGGGGGACCUUCGGGCCUCUCGCGUCAGGAUAUGCCUAGGUGGGAUUAGCUAGUUGGUGAGGUAAUGGCUCACCAAGGCGACGAUCCCUAGCUGGUCUGAGAGGAUGAUCAGCCACACUGGAACUGAGACACGGUCCAGACUCCUACGGGAGGCAGCAGUGGGGAAUAUUGCACAAUGGGCGCAAGCCUGAUGCAGCCAUGCCGCGUGUGUGAAGAAGGCCUUCGGGUUGUAAAGCACUUUCAGUCGUGAGGAAGGUAGUGUAGUUAAUAGCUGCAUUAUUUGACGUUAGCGACAGAAGAAGCACCGGCUAACUCCGUGCCAGCAGCCGCGGUAAUACGGAGGGUGCGAGCGUUAAUCGGAAUUACUGGGCGUAAAGCGCAUGCAGGUGGUUUGUUAAGUCAGAUGUGAAAGCCCGGGGCUCAACCUCGGAAUAGCAUUUGAAACUGGCAGACUAGAGUACUGUAGAGGGGGGUAGAAUUUCAGGUGUAGCGGUGAAAUGCGUAGAGAUCUGAAGGAAUACCGGUGGCGAAGG
rnacentral:rRNA from 1 species